UAAUACGAAGGUGGCAAGCGUUGUUCGGAUUUACUGGGCGUACAGGGAGCGUAGGCGGUUGGGUAAGCCCUCCGUGAAAUCUCCGGGCCUAACCCGGAAAGUGCGGAGGGGACUGCUCGGCUAGAGGAUGGGAGAGGAGCGCGGAAUUCCCGGUGUAGCGGUGAAAUGCGUAGAGAUCGGGAGGAAGGCCGGUGGCGAAGGCGGCGCUCUGGAACAUUUCUGACGCUGAGGCUCGAAAGCGUGGGGAGCAAACAGG
rnacentral:rRNA from 1 species